CCAAGUCUUGACAUCCUUUGACCACUCUAGAGAUAGAGCCUUCCCCUUCGGGGGACAAAGUGACAGGUGGUGCAUGGUUGUCGUCAGCUCGUGUCGUGAGAUGUUGGGUUAAGUCCCGCAACGAGCGCAACCCUUAAGCUUAGUUGCCAUCAUUAAGUUGGGCACUCUAGGUUGACUGCCGGUGACAAACCGGAGGAAGGUGGGGAUGACGUCAAAUCAUCAUGCCCCUUAUGAUUUGGGCUACACACGUGCUACAAUGGACAAUACAAAGGGCAGCUAAACCGCGAGGUCAUGCAAAUCCCAUAAAGUUGUUCUCAGUUCGGAUUGUAGUCUGCAACUCGACUACAUGAAGCUGGAAUCGCUAGUAAUCGUAGAUCAGCAUGCUACGGUGAAUACGUUCCC
rnacentral:rRNA from 1 species